UUAACACAUGCAAGUCGAACGGUAAGGCCCUUCGGGGUACACGAGUGGCGAACGGGUGAGUAACACGUGGGUAAUCUGCCCUGCACUUCGGGAUAAGCCUGGGAAACUGGGUCUAAUACCGGAUAUUCAGAUUCUGCCGCAUGGUGGUUUCUGGAAAGUUUUUCGGUGCAGGAUGUGCCCGCGGCCUAUCAGCUUGUUGGUGGGGUAAUGGCCUACCAAGGCGACGACGGGUAGCCGGCCUGAGAGGGUGAUCGGCCACAUUGGGACUGAGACACGGCCCAGACUCCUACGGGAGGCAGCAGUGGGGAAUAUUGCACAAUGGGCGCAAGCCUGAUGCAGCGACGCCGCGUGAGGGAUGACGGUCUUCGGAUUGUAAACCUCUUUCAGUAGGGACGAAGCGAAAGUGACGGUACCUGCAGAAGAAGCACCGGCCAACUACGUGCCAGCAGCCGCGGUAAUACGUAGGGUGCGAGCGUUGUCCGGAAUUACUGGGCGUAAAGAGCUCGUAGGCGGUUUGUCACGUCGUCUGUGAAAUCCUACAGCUUAACUGUGGGCGUGCAGGCGAUACGGGCAGACUUGAGUACUACAGGGGAGACUGGAAUUCCUGGUGUAGCGGUGAAAUGCGCAGAUAUCAGGAGGAACACCGGUGGCGAAGGCGGGUCUCUGGGUAGUAACUGACGCUGAGGAGCGAAAGCAUGGGUAGCGAACAGGAUUAGAUACCCUGGUAGUCCAUGCCGUAAACGGUGGGCGCUAGGUGUG
rnacentral:rRNA from 1 species